GAUGAAGAACGCAGCGAAAUGCGAUACGUAGUGUGAAUUGCAGAAUUCAGUGAAUCAUCGAAUCUUUGAACGCAAAUUGCGCCCCUUGGUAUUCCAUGGGGCAUGCCUGUUCGAGCGUCAUUUGUACCUUCAAGCUUUGCUUGGUGUUGGGUGUUUGUCUCGCCUUUGCGUGUAGACUCGCCUUAAAAUAAUUGGCAGCCGGCGUAUUGAUUUCGGAGCGCAGUACAUCUCGCGCUUUGCACUCAUAACGACAGCGUCCAAAAGUACAUUUUACACUCUUGACCUCGGAUCAGGUAGGGAUACCCGCUGAACUUAAGCAUAUCAAUAAGCGGAGGA
rnacentral:misc_RNA from 1 species